UCCGUAGGCGGGUAAUUAAGUCAGAGGUGAAAUCCCACAGCUUAACUGUGGAACUGCCUUAGAUACUGGUUAUCUUGAGUUUUAGUGAAGUAGAUAGAAUGUGUAGUGUAGCGGUGAAAUGCAUAGAUGUUACACAGAAUACCGAUUGCGAAGGCAGUCUACUAACUAACAACUGACGCUAAUGGACGAAAGCGUGGGGAGCGAACAGGAUUAGAUACCCUGGUAGUCC
rnacentral:rRNA from 1 species